AUGCAAGUCGAACGGUAACAUUUCUAGCUUGCUAGAAGAUGACGAGUGGCGGACGGGUGAGUAAUGCUUGGGAACUUGCCUUUGCGAGGGGGAUAACAGUUGGAAACGACUGCUAAUACCGCAUAAUGUCUUCGGACCAAACGGGGCUUAGGCUCCGGCGCAAAGAGAGGCCCAAGUGAGAUUAGCUAGUUGGUAAGGUAACGGCUUACCAAGGCGACGAUCUCUAGCUGUUCUGAGAGGAAGAUCAGCCACACGGGGACUGAGACACGGCCCAGACUCCUACGGGAGGCAGCAGUGGGGAAUAUUGCACAAUGGGGGAAACCCUGAUGCAGCCAUGCCGCGUGUGUGAAGAAGGCCUUCGGGUUGUAAAGCACUUUCAGUUGUGAGGAAAAGUUAGUAGUUAAUACCUGCUAGCCGUGACGUUAACAACAGAAGAAGCACCGGCUAACUCCGUGCCAGCAGCCGCGGUAAUACGGAGGGUGCGAGCGUUAAUCGGAAUUACUGGGCGUAAAGCGCACGCAGGCGGUUUGUUAAGCUAGAUGUGAAAGCCCCGGGCUCA
rnacentral:rRNA from 1 species